rnacentral:lncRNA from 1 species
GGGAUGAUCGAAGGAUUGAAUUACAUGGUAACUUACCACUGAAGAGUAUAUUUGAUAUUUUUAUUAAAUUUUAUAUCUUCUGAAUAGUUAUGAUACAUUGCUAGACGUCAAUCUUAAUUUGUAGGUCUGAUCGAAUUAAAGAGUUUAAUUCGAUCGUCAAUUAGAAAGAGUUCUAAUUGCUGAAAUCAGGUUAGCUCGAUUGGACCUAAAUCGGUUAGAUUAAAAUCUAAUCAAAUUAGGUCAAUUUAUAUUUGAAUCUACUACUAGCUAGAUAUAGAACUCAAUGGUUCAUACACAUAUAAAAAUUGACCAAGGAU